rnacentral:rRNA from 1 species
AUUGAACGCUGGCGGCAGGCCUAACACAUGCAAGUCGAACGAGUGGCGGACGGGUGAGUAAUUUCUGGGAAACUGCCUGAUGGAGGGGGCUAACUCCUGGAACCGGUAGCUACUACCGCAUACCCUCCUAUGUGCCCCGAUGGGAGUAGCUAGGUGGGGGGGGAACGGCUAACCAAGGCGACGCUCCCUAGCUGGUCUGAGAGGAUGACCAGCAAAACGGGAACUGAGACACGGGCCAGACGCCUACGGGAGGGAGCAGGGGGGAAUAUGGCACAAUGGGCGAAAGCCUGAGGCAGCAAUGCCGCGUGUAUGAAGAAGGCCUUCGGGUUGUAAAGUACUUUCAGCGGGGAGGCGUUACCCGCAGAAGAAGCAACGGCUAACUCCGUGCCAGCAGCCGCGGUAAUAC